GCAAACUUGGUCAUUUAGAGGAAGUAAAAGUCGUAACAAGGUUUCCGUAGGUGAACCUGCGGAAGGAUCAUUAUUGAAUACUAGAUGGGUUGUAGCUGGUCCUUCGGGACAUGUGCACGCCUGUCGUUGUUCUAUUCAUCCACCUGUGAACUAUUUGUAGUCUUUAAGGGCUGAAGGUCCGACAUUUAUCAGUCGAAAGACUGGAUUGAGAGGAUUGCUUGUAUGAUACUGAACGUGCAGCUUUCCUCGGUACGUCGCAAAUCUCCCUUGGAGUCUAUGUCUUUUAUAUACCACAUUGUAUGUUGCAGAAUGUAUUUUACAAAAGGCAUUUUAUGCCUAUAUAAACACUAUACAACUUUCAGCAACGGAUCUCUUGGCUCUCGCAUCGAUGAAGAACGCAGC
rnacentral:misc_RNA from 1 species